rnacentral:piRNA from 1 species
GUGAGAAAGAAUUGGGAACAGAAGUCA